CCAGAUCAACAGUCUCGUUCUUGAUAUCUUCGAGACUCGACAUCUCUCACCACUCCUUCACUGAGAAAAACGACGGCGAAUUAGUACUCAACACGACAGCUUUGUCCGCCGUUUCACUCGAUCAUAUGUAUUCCGGCAAAAUAGAGAGAAGGAGAGGAGGAGAGAUUAGGUGGUUCUGUUGCAGAG
rnacentral:sRNA from 1 species